rnacentral:rRNA from 1 species
AGUGAACGCUGGCGGUAGGCCUAACACAUGCAAGUCGAACGGCAGCACAGUAAGAGCCUGCUCUUACGGGUGGCGAGUGGCGGACGGGUGAGGAAUACAUCGGAAUCUACUUUUUCGUGGGGGAUAACGUAGGGAAACUUACGCUAAUACCGCAUACGACCUACGGGUGAAAGCAGGGGAUCUUCGGACCUUGCGCGAUUGAAUGAGCCGAUGUCGGAUUAGCUAGUUGGCGGGGUAAAGGCCCACCAAGGCGACGAUCCGUAGCUGGCCUGAGAGGAUGAUCAGCCACACUGGAACUGAGACACGGUCCAGACUCCUACGGGAGGCAGCAGUGGGGAAUAUUGGACAAUGGGCGCAAGCCUGAUCCAGCCAUACCGCGUGGGUGAAGAAGGCCUUCGGGUUGUAAAGCCCUUUUGUUGGGAAAGAAAAGCAGCAGGUUAAUACCCCGCUGUUCUGACGGUACCCAAAGAAUAAGCACCGGCUAACUUCGUG